rnacentral:rRNA from 1 species
ACCUUAGAUAGUAAACAAUAGCAAAACUAUAGCUAAGGGAACGGGCUUCACAGAAUCAGCGGGAGACGGAGGCAGGGCGUUGCUUUGAAUGUAAAAGAGAAGAAAUUCAACCAAGCGCGGGUAAACGUCGGGAGUAACUAUGACUCUCUUAAGGUAGCCAAAUGCCUCGUCAUCUAAUUAGUGACGCACAUGAAUGGAUUAACAAGAUUUCCACUGUCCCUGUAUACUAUCCAGCAAAACCACAGCUAAGGGAACAGGCUUCGCAGAGUCAAUAGGAGACGGAGGCGGGGCGUUGCCCCUCCAGCAAAAUACCACUACUUUUAACGUUAUGUUACUUAUUCCGUGAGACGGAGGUGGGGCGUUGCCCCUCCUUUUGGUUUUCAAGUCCCGCUCCGGCGGGUCGAUCUGGGCGGAAGACAUUGUCAAGUGGGGAGUUUGGCUGGGGCGGCACAUUUGUUAAAAGAUAACGCAGGUGUCCUAAGAUGAGCUCAAUGAGAACAGAAAUCUCAUGUUGAACAAAAGGGUAAGAGUUUGUUUGAUUUUGAUUUCCAAUGCGACCGACCUUGAUCUUUGUGUGAAGGGUUCGAGUGAGAGCAUGUGUGUUGGGACCCGAAAGAUGGUGAACUAUGCCUGAGCGGGGCCAAGCCAGAGAAAACUCUAGUGGAGGCCCGUAGCGAUACUGCCGUGCAAAUCGUUCGUCUGACUUGGGUAUAGGGGCAAAAGACUAAUCAAACUAUCUAGUAGCUAGUUCCCUCCGAAGUUUCCGUCAGGAUAGCUGGAGCCCCGGACUGAGUUCUAUCGGGUAAAGCCAAUGAUUAGAGGCAUCGGGGGCACAACGCCCUCGACUUAUUCUCAAACUUUAAAUAGGUAGGACGGCCCGGCUGCUUCGUUGAGCCGGGCCACGGAAUCAAGGGCUCCAAGUGGGCCAUUUUUGGUAAGCAUAACUGGCGAUGCGGGAUGAACCGGAAGUCGGGUUACAGUGCCCAACUAUGCGCUAACCUGGAACCCACAUAAAGUGUUGGUCGAUUAAGAUAGCAGGACGGUGAUCAUGAAAGUUGAAAUUCGUUAAGGAGUGUGUAACAACUCAUCUGCCGAAUCAACUAGCCUUGAAAAUGAAUGACGCUAAAGCGCGUGACCCACACCCAGCCAUCGGGGCAAUGGCCAGGCCCGGAUGAGUAGGAGGACGCAGUGGUCGCCGCAAAACUCGGGGCGCAAGCCCGUGCGGAGAGGCCAUCGGUGCGAAUCUUGGUGGUACUAGCAAAUAUUCAAAUGAGAGCUUUGAAGGCCGAAGGGGGGAAAGGUUCCAUGUGAACGGCACUUACACAUGGGUUAGCCGAUCCUAAGAGAUGGGGGAGGCCCGUAAGAUAGCGCUGCUUUGCGCGAGCUUAAAAAGGGAGUCGGGUUAAAAUUCCCGAGCUGGGAUGUGAUGGCUGACAACAACGUUAGGUAGUCCGGAGAUGUCAGUGGGGGCCUCGGGGUGAGUUAUCUUUUCUACUUAACAGCCUGCCUGCCCUGGAAGCGGCUCAGUCGGAGGUAGGGCCCAGCGGCUGGAAGAGCUCCGCACGUUGAGCGGCGUCCGGUUUUCCCCCGGCGGCCCUUGAAAAUCCGUAGGGCCGAGUGCCGUCCACUCCCGGUCGUACUCAUAACCGCAUCAGGUCUCCAAGGUGAACAACCUCUGGUCGGUGGAGCAAUGUAGGCAAGGGAAGUCUGUAAAAUGGAUCCGUAACUUCGGGAAAAGGAUUGGCUCUGAGGGUUGGGCUCGGGGGUCCCAGCCUCGAAUCCAUCGGCUGUCGGUGGAUUGCUUGAGCUGCGUCCGCGGCGAGAGCGGGUCACCGCGUGCUGGCUGGGGGACGGAUUGGAAACGGCCCCACGGGGCCUUCCCCGGGCGUCGAACAACCGACUCAGAACUGGUACGGUCAAGGGGAAUCCGACUGUUUAAUUAAAACAAAGCAUUGCGAUGGUCCCAGCGGAUGCUCAUGCAAUGUGAUUUCUGCCCAGUGCUCUGAAUGUUAAAGUGAAAAAAUUCAACAAAGCGUGGGUAAAUAGCGGGAGUAACUAUGACUCUCUUAAGGUAGCCAAAUGCCUCAUCAUCUAAUUAGUGAUGGCAUGAAUGGAUUAACGAGAUUCUCACUGUCCCUGUCUACUAUCCAGCUAAACCACAGCCAAGGGAACGGGCUUGGUAGAAUCAGCGAGAAAAGAAGACCCUAUUGAGCUUGACUCUUGUCCGACUUUGUAAAAUAACUUGAGAGGUGUAGGAUAAGUGGGAGCUGGUACGCCGGCGAAAGUGAAAUACCACUACUUUUAACGUUAUUUUACUUAUUCCGUGAGACGGAGGCGGGGCGUUGCCCCUCCUUUUGGCUUUCAAGUCCCGCUCCAGCUGGUCGAUCCAGGCGGAAGACAUUGUCAGGUGGGGAGUUUGGCUGGGGCGGCACAUAUGUUAAAAGAUAACGCAAGUGUCCUAAGAUGAGCUCAACGAGAACAGAAAUCUCAUGUGGAACAAAAUGGUAAAAGCUUAUUUGAUUCUGAUUUCCAGUGCGAAUACGAACCGUGAAAGCAUGGCCUAUCGAUCCUUUAGUUA